ACUUAUAUAAUAUAAAUAAUUAUAUUUGAUUUCCAAUCAAAAAAUCUAGCUAUUAGUUUAAGUA
rnacentral:tRNA from 1 species